GACAGAGGAUGCAAGCGUUAUCCGGAAUGAUUGGGCGUAAAGCGUCUGUAGGUGGCUUUUCAAGUCCGCCGUCAAAUCCCAGGGCUCAACCCUGGACAGGCGGUGGAAACUACCAAGCUGGAGUACGGUAGGGGCAGAGGGAAUUUCCGGUGGAGCGGUGAAAUGCAUUGAGAUCGGAAGGAACACCAGUGGCGAAAGCGGCUUCCUGGUCCGACACCGACGUUCAGGCACGAAAGCGUGGGGAGCAAACAGG
rnacentral:rRNA from 1 species